GGACGUCCAUCCUGGGGACACGAUCGACUACAUGAAGAAGUUGUUGGAGAGGAUUUGCCGACUGUAGGUUCCGAGCCAGACACGUCGCUGGCAUAGUCGGCGGUGAUGGGGCGGUCAGCGGAGGCCGUGUGCUUUACAGGUCUUGUGGUCUCUUUACCUGAUUAGGAUCCUAAUGAAGUUCGUUGGUGGCUGCAGUAAAAUUGUGGUUGGGCGCUGUUGAUUUUGUGGUGGUAGGCUGUUUUUUGAUUCGGUCCACUGUGCCGGACAGGUGACGGCCGGUGUGGUUGUUAUUCUACAGGCCAAGCUGAAUAUACACCCCCUUGGAUAGAAAAAAGUUCAUCAUAAUCACUACGUCAUCUGCUAAUUCACUUCAUGGGAUCACCACUUCUAUCAAGUGGAAUCUACCGUGCCAUCGCUUCAGAUGCAGGCAGCAGAUAUUACUACCAAACCUUGAAAAGCCAUUGGAAACAACCCUGCAACCUUCUCCGACAGUAGCAGAGGUAAUUUAUAGCCUAGGUAAUCCUCAGUUUUUUUUUUCCACGGGGUGAAAGGGAGUUUUAUUCUUAAUUGAGCGGUGUAUCAAAAAACUAGAGGAUGAAAACAAUACAACGGGAAUCAAGAAGAGAGAAGGAAGACAAAUGUCAGCGGGAAAAUCAAAAAUGGGUUUGGCAGAUAUUAUUUUUUACAUGUACAACAAAUUCAUCUUAUUUGCUACUUCAAUGUAGUAUUGUUGUUUUUGCUUUUUUAUCAGUAAUUAAGUAGCCAGGGAGCUGUCUACGCAUGAAGGUUGAAAACGAAGUAAGCUACUUGCUAACAGCAAGAAAGGACCAGCUUAGUUCUACACUGUAGCUUGAGUGCUUUGUAUGCAUAACUAAAACUGUACUGUAAUAAGACAAACUUACCACUCUACUUGGACUUAUCCUGUCCUUUUGACCUGUUGUAUAAUAUAACCAACUUUUCAUAGAUGCAACUGCGACAUGGUUGAAAUUGUGUACUGUAAUAGUAUGAUAGACUUGGUGCUCUACUUAAAUGUACGCAGUGCUCUCCGUAUGUAAUGUAAUGUAUAACUAAGCGUACACACUCGAUAACAUGUCUAGCGAUCUAGCUUUUUCGCUUACUAUUAAGCUGAU